CCUACGGGAGGCAGCAGUGGGGAAUAUUGGACAAUGGGCGCAAGCCUGAUCCAGCAAUGCCGCGUGAGUGAUGAAGGCCUUAGGGUUGUAAAGCUCUUUCGCACGCGACGAUGAUGACGGUAGCGUGAGAAGAAGCCCCGGCUAACUUCGUGCCAGCAGCCGCGGUAAUACGAAGGGGGCUAGCGUUGUUCGGAAUUACUGGGCGUAAAGGGCGCGUAGGCGGCCUGUUUAGUCAGAAGUGAAAGCCCCGGGCUCAACCUGGGAAUAGCUUUUGAUACUGGCAGGCUUGAGUUCCGGAGAGGAUGGUGGAAUUCCCAGUGUAGAGGUGAAAUUCGUAGAUAUUGGGAAGAACACCGGUGGCGAAGGCGGCCAUCUGGACGGACACUGACGCUGAGGCGCGAAAGCGUGGGGAGCAAACAGGAUUAGAUACCCCGGUAGUCCACGCCGUAAACGAUGAAUGCUAGACGUCGGGGUGCAUGCACUUCGGUGUCGCCGCUAACGCAUUAAGCNUCCGCCGUGGGAGUACGGCCGCGAAGUAAACGUACGAAGAGUAAGUAGUCGUUGNGAGNGCGACGACGCGACGACGGAGGAGG
rnacentral:rRNA from 1 species